CCUGUUUACAAGAGAGAAAAACUUCUGUGUUCAUCACAAUUCCAAGAAACAAAACAUGGCCAAGAUCAACUGAUUUGUUCAAAAGAAGUCUGGAACCUGAUUUUUACUGGGAGAUCAAUUUCUUCUUCUUCCUGUUCAUUCAGAUUUCCAUCACAGCCUGCAGUUCCCUACCACUGGUGGUUGAGACUUGCUCUUUGGGGUCAAGAAGACUUGGAGAGGCUGAUUGCAUUCCUGCAGGAACCUGAGAGCCCUUGGGAAUACAAGCAAAGAGUUGGAAAAAUAAGUCCAGUGAAAUAUAAGAAUCAGCACAUCCAGUGACAGAAACCUCACCUUCUCACCCCAGAAACUGCUGAAUAACCGAGAGGAAGGUCUGGGAAGUUGAGUGGCACUCCCCAGAGAAGAGGAAGAUAAAUCAGUCCUGAGUGGGGGUGGCUGCUGCUGUCUCC